rnacentral:rRNA from 1 species
GACGAACGCUGGCGGCGUGCUUAACACAUGCAAGUCGAACGGAAAGGCCCUGCUUUUGUGGGGUGCUCGAGUGGCGAACGGGUGAGUAACACGUGAGUAACCUGCCCUUGCCUUUGGGAUAACUUCAGGAAACUGGGGCUAAUACCGGAUAGGAGCUCCUGCUGCAUGGUGGGGGUUGGAAAGUUUCGGCGGUUGGGGAUGGACUCGCGGCUUAUCAGCUUGUUGGUGGGGUAGUGGCUUACCAAGGCUUUGACGGGUAGCCGGCCUGAGAGGGUGACCGGACACAUUGGGACUGAGAUACGGCCCAGACUCCUACGGGAGGCAGCGGUGGGGAAUAUUGCACAAUGGGCGGAAGCCUGAUGCAGCAACGCCGCGUGCGGGAUGACGGCCUUCGGGUUGUAAACCGCUUUCGCCGGUGACGAAGCGUGAGUGACGGUAAUGGGUAAAGAAGCACCGGCUAACUACGUG